UACGGGGGGGCAAGCGUUGUUCGGAAUUACUGGGCGUAAAGGGCUCGUAGGCGGCCAACUAAGUCAGACGUGAAAUCCCCAGGCUCAACCUGGGAACUGCGUCUGAUACUGGAUGGCUUGAAUCCGGAGAGGGAUGCGAAUUCCAGGUGUAGCGGUGAAAUGCGUAGAUAUCUGGAGGAAUACCGGUGGCGAGGGCGGCAUCCUGGACCGGCAUUGACGCUGAGGAGCGAAAGCUAGGGGAGCAAACAGGGAUUAAGAA
rnacentral:rRNA from 1 species